rnacentral:rRNA from 1 species
AGGGCGCAUGGCGGAUGCCUUGGCUCUCGGAGGCGAUGAAGGACGUGAUAAGCUGCGAUAAGCUCCGGGGAGGUGCAAAUAACCUUUGAUCCGGGGAUUUCCGAAUGGGACAACCCGGCGUGUUGAAGACACGCCACCUGAUCAUUUCAGGAGCUAACGCAGGGAACUGAAACAUCUUAGUACCUGCAGGAAAAGAAAAUAACAAUGAUUCCCCCAGUAGUGGCGAGCGAACGGGGAAUAGCCCAAACCGUUCAUGUUACGGCAUGAUCGGGGUUGUAGGACUACGUCGUUGCAUGAAGACAUCGGAGAAGAACUUUCUGGAAAGAAAGACCAUAGAGCAUGACAGUUGCGUAUUCGUAUGUUGUCGAAGCAUAGUAGUAUCCUGAGUAGCGCGGAGCACGAGGAAUUCUGCGUGAAUCUGCCGGGACCAUCCGGUAAGGCUAAAUACUCCCGAGAGACCGAUAGCGAACCAGUACCGUGAGGGAAAGGUGAAAAGCACUUCGAACAGAAGAGUGAAAUAGUUCCUGAAACCGUGCGCCUACAAGCGGUCGGAGCUCAGCAAUGAGUGACGGCGUGCCUUUUGCAUAAUGAACCUACGAGUUGCCUUUGCCGGCAAGGUUAAGUGUGACGACACACGUAUCCGAAGCGAAAGCGAGUCUGAAGAGGGCGUAUAGUCGGCAGUGGCAGACGCGAAACCAAGUGAUCUACCCUUGGCCAGGUUGAAGGCUGGGUAACACCAGCUGGAGGACCGCACCAAUAAGCGUUGAAAAGCUUCUGGAUGAGCUGAGGGUAGGGGUGAAAGGCUAAUCAAACUUGGAGAUAGCUCGUACUCCCCGAAAUGCAUUUAGGUGCAGCCUUGUGGGUUACUGAUGUGAGGUAGAGCGACUGAUAAGAUGCGAGGGCUUCACCGCCUAUCAAGUCUUGACAAACUCCGAAUGCGCAUCAGUUUUACCUCAGGAGUGAGGGCAUGGGUGCUAAGGUCCGUGCCCGAGAGGAGAAGAAUCCGGACCACCUGCUAAGGUCCCGAAAUGACAGCUAAGUUAAACUAACGAAGUCUGACUGCUAAGACAGCUAGGAUGUUGGCUUGGAAGCAGCCAUUCAUUUAAAGAGUGCGUAACAGCUCACUAGUCGAGGAGUCUGGCGUGGAUAAUAAUCGGGUAUUAAGUUGUCUACCGAAGCAGUGGGAUCAUUGAAAUGAUCGGUAGGGGAGCAUUCCAGUCAGCGUCGAAGGCGUACCGCGAGGUAUUCUGGAGCGUCUGGAAAAGCAAAUGUAGGUAUAAGUAACGAUAAAGGGGGCGGGAAACCCCCUCGCCGAAAGACUAAGGUUUCCUGAUCAACGCUAAUCGGAUCAGGGUAAGUCGGGUCCUAAGGCUCAGCCGAAGGGCGAUGCCGAUGGCAGAAACGGUUAAUAUUCCGUUACUACCUCCAGGAGUGAUGUGGAGACGCAGUAGUGACAAUGCCGCCAUCUGACGGAAUAGAUGGUUGAAGGGUGUAGAUGUUGAUCUUGGCAGGCAAAUCCACCAUGAGAAUCGAACCUGAUAGUAUGCCGCGUCCCUCGGGACAAGGCAAUAGUGCAUGUAAUCAUGCUGCCAAGAAAAUCCGCUAAACUAAAUCCUGUAGGUACCCGUACCGUAAACGGACACACGUAGUCGGGAUGAAUAUUCUAAGGCGCUUGAGUGAUUCACGGUUAAGGAACUAGGCAAACUGACCCUGUAACUUCGGGAUAAAGGGUCCCUACCCGGUGACGGGAGGGCGCAGAGAAUAGGUCCAGGCAACUGUUUAACAAAAACACAGGGCUGUGCUAAAUCGAAAGAUCCUGUAUACAGCCUGACACCUGCCCGGUGCUGGAAGGUUAAGAGGAGACGUCAUCGUUGAGAGAAGCGUUGAAUUGAAGCCCCAGUAAACGGCGGCCGUAACUAUAACGGUCCUAAGGUAGCGAAAUUCCUUGUCGGGUAAGUUCCGACCUGCACGAAUGGUGUAAUGAUCUGGACGCUGUCUCAACCGUGAGCUCAGUGAAAUUGUAGUAUCGGUGAAGAUGCCGAUUACCCGCGAUGGGACGAAAAGACCCCGUGAACCUUUACUAUAGCUUAUCAUUGAAUCUGGGCACGUGAUGUGUAGGAUAGGUCGGAGGCUUUGAAGGGGGUACGCCAGUAUCCUUGGAGCCGCUGUUGAAAUACGACCCUUCAUUUGUUUGGAUUCUAACCCGUGUAUAUGGGGACACUGAUUGGUGGGUAGUUUGACUGGGGUGGUCGCCUCCAAAAGCGUA